GGGGUCGCAAAGAGUCAGACACGACUCAGCAUCUGAGCACACAUGCAAAGUCACCUGCAUUGAAAAAACAAAACAUUUAUUUUGGGAGAGUUUAUUUCUUUGUGUUAAGAAGAAACCUUCCAGUUUGUUGUUCUGUCGAAGGCCUCUGGCAGAAGCAGGCCCAGCAAGUAAUUGUCUCUUCUCUUUCCUCCCUUGGACACUGUGUUUCCCCUCAGAGAAUGGCCCAGUUAGGCCCCAGAAACAGGAAACUGAAAGUUUUAGUUGCUUCAGUUGUGUCUGACUCUUUGUGACCCCAUGGACUAUAGCCUGCCAGGCUCCUCUGUCCAUGGGAUUCUCCAGUCAAGAAUACUGGAGUGGGUUGCCAUUCCCUUCUCCAAUGGAUCUUCCCCACCUAGGGAUGGAACCCAGGUCUCCUGCAUUGCAGGCAGAUUCUUUACCGUCUGAGCCACCAGGGAAGCCCAGAGCUUCCUGCCAAAUGCUGCCUCUGGAAUUUGACAGCAGAAAAUGUAUUAGUAUAAAGAGCUUCCGGUUUUUCCUGUCUUCUUUAGUCAACACUACUCAUCUAUUGCUGAAACUGCUCACCUUCAACAACAAAAUGAACUUCAUAGCAAGAUCUUAUCCCCAAAAUGGCUUAUUCCUAGGAAUAAGGCUUGUUGAGUAAGUAACUAGUACUAGUCCACUAAGAACCUUCCAAUAUUUUUCUCUGUUAAAGUGUUAGUUACUUAGUUGUGUCCAACUCUUUGCGACCCUGUGGACUGUAGCCUACCAGGCUCCUCUGUCCAUGGAAUUUUCUUGAUAUUCCCUUCUUCAGGGGAUCUUCCCAACCCAGGGAUCAAACCUGAGUCUCCCGCAUUGCAGGCAGAUUCUUUACCAUGUGAGCCACCAGGCCAUAGCCAUUAAUUUUUAACAAAUUGGGCAAUGCAGUAAAUAUGGUUUUUUGUGUCCAAAGUGUCAUCAGAGAAAAAUGCCUUCCCCAUUCCACAGCAAUACUGAUCAUUCCAUGAAGAGAUGUAGUAGGGUGUCUACCUCUCCCCCGCCACCAGCCCUACAGGCGAGCACGUUACAUCAACUAGCCAAGCAGACCUUUGCCAAAACUACAGAAAAGAUUUUCUUUUCUGAGGCAGGUGCGAGCUGAAGGGAUGCUGUGGCUUGAGGCUACUAAUUCCCAUACUAUUAGCAAACGUAGAAUUAAAACUGGAAAUGAUACCAGCAAGGCUGAGAGGUGGACAGAGUAAGCACUCCUCUUUUAACCUCCAGAGUAAACUACAUUUUCUUGAGCCUUCCAGAUUCAAGCCAAAAUAAUCUCCUGGUUCAUAAAUUUAGGUAUCUGUCUUUUACCACUUAAAAAGUACUAAUGCAAAACUCUUCCUAAAAUAUUCUAUUUCUCUGGACGCAAACUGAGACUGGUGAAUGCAGUCUAUUACCUGUGUGUGAUAGAUUUAGCACAUAUUGCAAUCUGUUAGUCUCAAUGAUAAAAGGAGAGCAAUAAGUACCUUCUUUAGAAAAAAACUUUGUGAGGAUUCAAUGAACUAGAGCAUGUACAUUAAAAAUGGCAACUGCCACAUGUAGAAUUCAACAAUACCACAUCAUACCCCUUUCCUCCAUUACCUUUCCAAAAUAUCAACAACUUGAGCAUUAGAUAGUUCUAAGUGUUUUUCAUGCAUCAACUCAUUUAAUGUAUGCAAGUACCAUGAGCUAGAGACUACAAUUAGCCCAUCUUAUAGAGGCGAAGGGCAGUAUCCAGGGACACACAUGUUGAGGGAGCUCUGGGACACACAUUGUAACGUCCUGGGUUUUUUGGAUUUCAUUGUUUUAUGAAGCUAACUCUCCUCCUUUUGUCACUAAACCUGUCUUCAGGAAACCUUUCCAAAAUUUAGCUAUUCUACGCAUUUGUAGAUUAGGAAAGCAGCUCAUCAAUCACGUUGCAUGGUCAGUGCUGAAUACAGUAAGGGAUGUGCGAAGUGCAGGCCUAAGAGGUUUAGCAGCUCUUUUUGCUUAUAUUGUACUCAAAGUAUUGUGUCAUCUAUCAUGUACACAUCUCUGCUCUAUUUUUUCCAAUUAUUCCCUCAAGGAAACUCUAUAAAUAGCUGGGACGACAGUUGGUGUUUACUGUUUGUCAGGUACCAGGCCCCCUGCCAAAGCUUAACCCAAGUAUUUACUCCUCAUAGCACGUCUGACUCUUUGUGGCCCCAUGGACUGUAGCCCACCAGGCUCCUCUGUCCAUAGGAUUCUCCAGGAAAGAAUACUGGAGUAGGUUGCCACUUUCUACUCAAGGGCAUCUUCCCAAGCCAAGGAUUGAAUCCCUAUCUCUUGCAUCAGCAGGCGGAUUCUUUACCACUAGCACCGCCUGGGAAGCCCAAGCAGUAUUAUAAAAGACCAGUGAGUGCUAAGGAACCCAAGGCCACCUAGGGAGUGGACAAAGGGCAGGGGUGGCCUUGCUCCAUGUCCACACCGAGGGUGGGGCAGGGUCUGACUCUUCCUGGCACCUAACGCUGAGCAGGGCACCCUCAGGAGGCACUCAAACAGUUAAUGAAUGAAUACAUGCCAUGCUCUUCACAAAAGUAAAAAAGCACUUUCAAGUGAUAUAAAAGGGGACUUUAAUGUGAAAGGGGCACUUAUUGUGCGGAAAGAAAAAAAGCUUUAAGAGCAGAUUCUUUCUUGACAAUUUAUGGUAACUUCUUUAAUCCUAGAAAGUCCACACUGUCACAGUAAUACAAAUUUCCCGUCCCCUUUUCACCAGGCAGACUUGCGGGCUCUACCCAAGUAACACCCAGCCCAGGACAGAAGUGAGGUAUGUCUGAAAAUGAGGUGGAGAGGAGCAUCAGAACAACAGUGAGUCAGCCAUGAAAUGGAUUUAUGAUUCAGUUUAAUCCUCCUUACCUUUGAAUAUUAUGAGCAAUAUAUGCCAUUAUGAUAGCUAUUUAGGGUGAAAUGAUUAAUUAAAACUAUCUGAUAAGACUAAGCAUACUGUCUAACCUGAUUUAAGGCAAAUUCAUCUACUUCAACUAAAAAUACUGAACAGGAAAAUUAAAAAGGUGAACAAGGAAAUAAAAACCCUUUAGGUCUUAUUUCCACUAUAUAUUUCCUAAGUGACCUAAGGAAAGUAUCAUUCAAACAGAGUCACAGUGUAUUUUAAAUUUUUAUUAGUAAGAGUUUGGAGUACAAAUAAAUUUAACUUGACAUUUAGAAAAAAAUGUAUCCAUUAAGGUUUGUUCAUAAAGAAAAACCUGUUCUGUACAUCUCCAAUUUUAAUGCUUAACUCCAUAAUGCUUCUAAGGCUAUAACUUAAUUUUAGAUUUAAUUUUAACAAUUCUGCCUUAUUACAUCUGGUUAAAAAGACUGGAAAACAUCAAGUAGAAAAAAAUGACCUGAAUUUAAAACUUUACUAAAGGACUUUUUAAAGAAAAAGCCUUUAAUAAAAACAGCCUAAAAAUUAGAAUACUUUGGCUUUAAAAUUAGCAGCUAUGAAAAAAUUAACAUUAGAUAAUAUCAAGGACUGCAUUACAAAAAUAUUGUGGUUUACAUAUAUUAGAAUGAUUUACAACAUAGUAAAUGCUUAUUUAUAUCAAUCCAAAAAUCUCUUUAUAAAAAAAUUUGAUAUAGUUUAGCACUUUUGAGAAAUUCAGUUCCUAGUAAGUAACAGGAACACAAGGCCACCUAGGGAGUGGACAAAGGGCAGGGUGGCCUUGCUCCAUGUCCACACCGAGGGUGGGGCAGGGUCUGACUCUUCCUG
rnacentral:lncRNA from 1 species